AUGCUUUGAAUUUCUUAUUUAUUGAAUUCUCGUAGAUCAAAACUGCUUAUAAUACUUUAAAUAAAAUCUAGAGUGUUAAUGAUUUGAUCACCAAAUAUGUUGCCAAAGAAGAAAAGCUUAAGAAAGAAAAGAAUAAGAGUGCCCUUCUUUCCUUUCAAUCCAAAUUCCAUUCUAGCAAGGGUUCUAUGAAUCAGAAAAGAUGUAAACCAGCUGCUCCUAGAUAGUCUCAGAGUG
rnacentral:lncRNA from 1 species